rnacentral:rRNA from 1 species
UUUGGGGAGCUGUAAGUAAGCUUUGAUCCAGAGAUUUCCGAAUGGGGAAACCCAGCAUGAGUUAUGUCAUGUUAUCGAUAUGUGAAUACAUAGCAUAUCAGAAGGCACACCCGGAGAACUGAAACAUCUUAGUACCCGGAGGAAGAAAAAGAAAAUUCGAUUCCCUUAGUAGCGGCGAGCGAAACGGGAAGAGCCCAAACCAACAAGCUUGCUUGUUGGGGUUGUAGGACACUCUAUACGGAGUUACAAAGGACGACAUUAGACGAAUCAUCUGGAAAGAUGAAUCAAAGAAGGUAAUAAUCCUGUAGUCGAAAAUGUUGUCUCUCUUGAGUGGAUCCUGAGUACGACGGAACACGUGAAAUUCCGUCGGAAUCUGGGAGGACCAUCUCCUAAGGCUAAAUACUCUCUAGUGACCGAUAGUGAACCAGUACCGUGAGGGAAAGGUGAAAAGCACCCCGGAAGGGGAGUGAAAUAGAACCUGAAACCGUGUGCUUACAA